rnacentral:lncRNA from 1 species
AGUUUUUCUGCUGUUGUAGUAACAUGUUGAGACUCUGAACCAGCGAUGGAGCAGCUCCUGUUUCAGCCUCAGUGACUCCUGUGACAUCAGACAGAUUCUGAGCAGCCUGUGAGCACAGUGUCUGUAUUUAAAGAGCUUCUGUCUGAUACUUUUUGUCACAUAAUAGAAAACUGUAGAGAAGCAAAGUGUGACUUUACUACAACAUGAAACUCAGGAUUCAGAUUCGUCCAACAUUAGACUCCUAUUAAACAAAGAUUCACUUUAAUACAAGUCACAGCAGGUGUUUAGCUCUGGACCUUUGGCUUUUUCAGAAGAUGAGUGUUUGUGUGGAGGAAGAGGAUGGAGCAGAGUCUACAGGAUCCAGAUAUGUGUCUAUGAAGAAGGACUGGUCCAAAUGUGAGCCUCCAUCAUUCAGUCCUGAACCUGGAGCCUCAGACACAAAGUAAGAAGUGAUCUAAAGUCACUGAUAUGAAUCAUUGUUGGUUUAUCUUCUUUGUCCUGUAGCUUCAUCUCUUAUAAACUGACUGUAUGAAUUUCUAUAUGAACCUGACUGUGAUCUUCCAGGAAGUUCAUGUUCUUCUGGAUGAACUUCAUGCCAAUAAACGUGAUCAUUAAGAUGAACAAUGAAAUGACUGAUGACAGAGAAAUGGUUUGUUGGGUCUCAGUGUCUCUGACGGCUGUCAAUCACAGAGAACAGCUGAAAUCUGAUCUGAUCCAAAGUGUAAACCAUCCUAAUGAUCUACAGCAGCAGUAGUUUUAGUUUUGAGCCACAGAAAUGACUUUGAUCAGAGAACUGAACAGUGACUGAUGUGAUAUGAAUGAAAACAUGUUUGUGUUUACAGAGUUCAGAACCACGGACAAAGAGCAGAACCUCCAGGAACCAGCUCUGUGUCUAUGAAGAGUAACCAAUCCAGAAUUCCUCCUCUAAACUUCAGUAAUGAACCUGGAACCUCAGACACAAAAGAGAAGAAGAGGAGUCAUGUUCUUGAGGAGGAGCAGCCGUCCUGCUGUGCUGUGUGUCAGGAGGUUCUGAAGGAUCCAGUCUCUAGCAGCUGUGGCCACUGGUUCUGCAGACAGUGCAUCACCUCAUACUGGAACCAGUCUGGACCAUCAGGAGACUUCUCCUGUCCCCAGUGUGCGAAACAAUCCAGAACCAGAGCUGGGCUACAUACGGGCCGUCGGACCAGCACCGUCCAACGUAAGACUGAACAUGUGUCUGAUGAUGUCAUCGUUUCAACCAGACUGACUUUGAUACUUUCAUAUUUCU